AUGCAUCUACUUGUUUUCCAAGGGGGAAAACCCCACCAUCCACCAAAGGAAAGUGCAGGCCACAUAUUUUUACUAACAUUUCCCAGAAUCUUCACAUGUAUCCUUUCCUUCUUUCUUUCUUUCUUUUUUCUUGAGACGGAGUUUCGCUCUUGUUGCCCAGGCUGGAGUACAAUGGUACAAUCUUGGCUCACCACAACCUCCGACUCCCAGGUUCAAGCAAUUCUCCUGCCUCAGCCUCCUGAGUAGCUGGGAUUACAGGUCAAGUAAUUUUGUAUUUUUAGUAGAGACAGGUUUCUCCAUGUUUGUCAGGCUGAUCUUGAACUCCUGACUUCAGGUGAUCUGCCCAUCUCGGCCUCCCAAAGGGCUGCAAUUACAGGUGUGAGCCACCACACAUAGCCAAAAUUUAUUUUUUUAUAUAUUGAGACAGCAAUCUCUAUUUCCAUUUUUCUUAAUUUUCAAAUGUUUAUGUGUGUGCAUUUACUUCUGGAAAAAGCUUAGGUGAAUUUUAGACUUAUCUUAUGUGCAUGUCCUCUAUCAGUGAUUAUUCCCUGUGCUAUUUAUUGACAUUUAAAGAUUAAUUAAUAGACCCAGGAUGUAACUUAAACAGAAAAUUUCCAGUAAGUUUGAAUGUCUAUAUGAGCUCCUUCCUGGUGUCAUGUUCCUUACAUUUAUUCCCAAAGGCCAUCAAUGUAUUGAUAUAUAUUUUGACUUUUAAGUAAAUGAAAUUGCUUUAAACAUAUUUUUCAGUGAUUUACCUAUACUUUCAACAUUAUUUGAUUUUUUUAGAUUUUUAAAUUUUGUUGCAGGUUGUUGUAGUUUUUACUGUUAUAUUGUAUUAAAUUUUAUUUAUACAUUUUGUGUGGACAGAAAAUUAAGAUCCUACUAAACAGAGUCUAAUAUCAACAAACUUGUGAGCAUCCUUAUACAUGUCUCCUGGGUCCUGAAUAAAAGAGUUUCUUUAGGUUACCUACCAAGGAAUGGAAUUCCAGGCCAUAGCAAAUUAUUAUUAUCUUUAAAUUUACUAGUUAUUAUCAGAUUUUUUCCAGUGCUUGUAACAUUACACUCCUUAUUCUCCUUAUUGCAUAUCAUUACCCAAACUUGAUAUUUUCACACUUCUAAUUUACACAAACUGGUAGAAAUGUAUCUACUAGGAUUUAUCUCCUUGAGGUUUUAAUUUUUAUUUCUCUGAGUAAUAUUGACAAUUGAGUGUUUUACAUAUACCUGUGCCAUUCAUGUUUUACCAGUUAGUUUACUUAUUAAAAUGGCACAUUUACAUUUGAAGUUGAAGGAAAUGAUUCACGUCUCCACAAGAAAAAAUCUGAAGGAAGAUAAAGUUAUUGAGGGUCUCUUACAACUUUUGUAAAGUUAUGAGAAAUUUUUCUAUAGCUUUUUGUGUGAAAUACUUCCAAAUACAUUUCUGCUAUUAUUUGUGAACAUUGUAACUCAUCUGAAUGAGUAACUCAAUCUGCCUUAAAUACUCUUACCUUUGCUGUACUUAAUGAUAAUACUAUUGGAGAGGCUUUCUCCAAACUGAAACCACAAACUAUAAACAUGAAGAAGGCUCUUAAAUAAAGUUUUGAUGACUGAAGCUAAAAUGGCAUAGCCCAAAUAAAUAUAUUUGCAUAAUGUAUAGAUACAUGUUGACAUUGAAUCAUGCACAUUGUCAUGGAUACAAACAAUAAAUAUAUUUAUUAAUAUCUACUCCAAUUUUAUGGGUUUUAGCCAUAUGUUCUACAUCUUAGGGUUUUUUGUUGUUGUCGUUGUUGUUUUGUUGUGCUUUUUUUUUUUUUGCCAUUUUUAUUAUGUUACCAAACACUAUUUUCCAGCAGAUUUACUGGUUUAUCUUUUAUUCUUCCAAUCUCACCUAGUUAUUUUAAACUAUGAAAUGCCAAAGGCAAGAUAACAAGUCUAGGCAGUGAUGCAUGUUUUGUUACUAUGUGAGAAAUACUUUAACUCUAAUUGAGAAAUCUUACUAAGAAUGUAAUGAGAAAUAAUCUGUAGCUUUUAAACUAGCACUCUAGUUUUGCCCAUUUAAUCUUAUGAAAGAAAAAAUGUUACAUGAAAGAAUAAUAAUUACUCACAUAUUUAAUCAGCUCAUCCUUGUUAGUUCUAGUUCAUUUAAAGCUUGACUGUGUCCUAAGUAAGACAAAUGUUGAAGUUUCAUGUGUAUAUUGAGGAUGGGAAACCCAAGGUAUAAAAAUUUCAACUGGAUUUAAUGUGAAGUAAAUACAAAGCUGAUUAAAGCUUUUAGUAUUUUUGUUUUCAUACUGCUAUUUCUUGAAAAGAUGCAUAUAGAUGUCUGAAUAGAGUGCUGUGCUUAAAUUUUCACCAGUCUUUAUUCAGGCACAAUCAUGGCCAUUUUCACUAUAUUGAUUCGUCCUAACCAUGAGUGUGGAAUGUUUCUCCAUCUGUUUGUGUCCUCUCUUAUUUCCUUGAGCAGUGGUUCCUAGU
ensembl:lncRNA